UGCGUAGGCGGCGGGGAAAGUCAGAUGUGAAAUCCGGAGGCUCAACCUCCGAAUUGCAUCCGAUACUCCCUCGCUAGAGAUUUGUAGAGGAGCUUGGAAUUCUCGGUGUAGCAGUGAAAUGCGUAGAUAUCGAGAAGAACGCUCGCAGCAAAGGCGAAGCUCUGGGCAAAUUCUGACGCUGAUGCACGAAGGCGUAGGGGAGCAAACG
rnacentral:rRNA from 1 species